GGAGUAUACAAAGAGGAUUAGGGCUAGAACCUCAAGGAACACCCAAAUAUUGGAUUUGGAAAAAUAAGGAAACAUGGAGUUCUUUGACAGCACACCCUCCCACUUCUGCAUAUACCAGAAUCCACAUAAUCUCAAAUCCUGCAGUCAGCCCUGUGGAACCCACAUAAAUUGGCUCUCUCUAUAGGCCCCUUGGACGUUCCAGUCUAUUGAAUGUUUUAUGGAUUUGCUUGUUCUACAUAAUUCACUUGAGUGGAAUAAUAUAAUAUUUGUCCUUUUGUGUGUCUGGCUUAUUUUACCUAGCAUGACGUUUUCAAGGUUCAUCCAUGUUUGUAGCAUGUGUCAGAACUUUCAUCCUCUUUUAAAGCUGAAUAAUAUUUUAUUGUAUUGAUACACAGCACUUUUGUUGUUUAAAAGUUCAUCUGGGCUGGGCGUGGUGGCUCACACCUGUAAUCCCAGCACUUUGGGAGGCCAAGGCGGGUGGAUCAUGAGGUCAGGAGAUCGAGACCAUCCUGGCUAACACAGUGAAACCCCGUCUCUACUAAAAAAUACAAAAAAUUAGCCGGGUGUGGUGGCGGGCGCCUGUAGUCCCAGCUACUCAGGAGGCUGAGGCAGGAGAAUGGCA